UAUAAAGAUGGGCAAGAAUUAUCUGUCAAUAAAAGUUUUAAAUUUUUAAAUAUAUCUACAAUUAUAAUUAGGUCAUUUAGGUAAAAAUUGUAAUGUCUCUUUUGAGUAUAUGCACUCCAGUUUACAACUACUAUCUACAAUGCUCAAUAAGAUACUUAUUGUAGUGGCAAUAGACAACUUACAAAGAAUAAUGAGAAAGGGUGUGACUUAGUUCAGGGUUACUAUGUAGGUUCUGACACCUUCCGGUUCAGUCCACUACACAGUUGGAUCUAGUUUCUAUUUAAUAGUAAUUGAGUUAUGAUCCAAAUGUAAUACUAUAUUUGGUCAUAUUUCUUAACCAUAAAUAUUUGGGUUUAAAAUGUUAAAUGACUAUAUGUAUAAAUUCAGUCAUCUAUAAAUACCAUUUUACCUGCCUAAAUUUUUUUAAGGUCCAGUGAAAGCAAUUAUGUCAGUCUGGACAAAUUAAUGCAUUGAUCUCGUGUGCAAUUCUGUCUUCCAGUUUAGUGAAGAAAUAGAGUUUCUGUGGCGGCUUGUCCGUGCCUAUGGAGACAUGUAUGAUCUAUCUACAAAUACACAAGAAAAGAAACAUUAUGCUAAUAUUGGGAAAACAUUAGGAGAAAGAGCGGUCAUGAGGGCACCCAUGAAUGGACACUGCCAUCUGUGGUAUGCAGUUUUGUGUGGUUAUGUAUCUGAGUUUGAAGGCUUGCAAAACAAAAUUAACUGUGGACAUCUAUUCAAGGAGCAUCUAGAUAUAGCCAUCCAGCUCUUACCUGAAGAACCCUUUCUGUAUUACCUCAAGGGAAGAUAUUGUUAUACUGUCUCAAAACUCAGCUGGAUUGAGAAAAAAAUGGCUGCUACUCUGUUUGGGGAAAUACCAUCUUCAACGGUUCAUGAAGCUUUGCAUAACUUCCUUAAGACUGAAGAAUUGAAACCUGGUUAUUCUAUGUCCAACUACAUGUAUGUGGCCAAGUGUUACAUUGAUCUUGACGAAUCUCAAGAUGCUUGGAAAUUCUGUAACUUGGCAUUAUUGCUGCCUAUUAUUACCAAAGAGGACAGAGAUGCACAUAAAGAGGUGAAAAGAAUAAUCUGUUCUUUGAAGAGUUUCAGGUGGAAAACACACAAGAAGAACUACAGAGACUAGAUAGUGAAAAUAAAAUGUGUAAAACUACAGUCCUCAAAGACACACUGGGAGUGGACAGACACAUUGAUGGGAUAGGGUAAAAAAAAAAAAAAAAGGCCUCCGUUUGCAUGGAUAUAUUCAAAUGCAUGUGCUAAUUUAACAUAUGGUAAAGGGGUAUGUAAAAA
rnacentral:lncRNA from 1 species